CCUACGGGGGGCAGCAGCAAGGAAUUUUCGUCAAUGGGCGCAAGCCUGAACGAGCAACGCCGCGUGCAGGAUGACGGCCUUCGGGUUGUAAACUGCUUUUUCGGGGGAAGACAACGACGGUACCCCGGGAAUAAGGCUCGGCUAACUCUGUGCCAGCAGCCGCGGUAAGACAGAGGAGCCAAGCGUUGUCCGGAUUGACUGGGCGUAAAGCGCACGCAGGCGGACGCGCGCGUGGGGUGUGAAAUCUGGCCGCUUAACGGCCAGGCGCCAUCCCAUACGGCGCGUCUGGAGUGAUGCAGAGGUCGAUGGAAUUGCCGGUGUAGUGGUGAAAUGCGUAGAGAUCGGCAGGAACACCCAGGGGGAAACCAGUCGACUGGGCAUCUACUGACGCUGAGGUGCGAGAGCGUGGGGAGCGAACCGGAUUAGAUACCCUAGUAGUC
rnacentral:rRNA from 1 species